GGAUACCCUAAAACUUACAAUGCCAAUAAGAAACUCACACUAUUAAUGUACACUGAAACAGUUAGAAAUUUGAAACUUAUUUGACAUCAUUUUUGAUAUGUGUAAAAGCUAAUUCAUUCCUUGUUGGAUAAAUUGUGAAGAGCUAACAUCAGUUGUACUGUAAAAUGAGUCCUCUGCUCCACCAUAAUAGGUAUCUUCCUU
rnacentral:misc_RNA from 1 species